GUAUAAAUCACCUAUGGAUCCUAUUAAAAUGCAGAUUCUAAUUCAGGAGAACCAGGACAUAGCCUGAGAUUCUGCAUUUCUAGCAAGCUUCCAGGUGAUGCUAAA
rnacentral:pre_miRNA from 1 species